ACGGAAGGCAGCAGUGAGGAAUAUUGGUCAAUGGGCGAGAGCCUGAACCAGCCAAGUAGCGUGCAGGAUGACGGCCCUAUGGGUUGUAAACUGCUUUUGUGCGGGAAUAACGUGCUCCACGUGUGGGGCAGUGCAUGUACCGUACGAAUAAGGAUCGGCUAACUCCGUGCCAGCAGCCGCGGUAAUACGGAGGAUCCGAGCGUUAUCCGGAUUUAUUGGGUUUAAAGGGAGCGUAGGCGGAAGGUCAAGUCAGCUGUGAAAUGUAGUCGCUCAACGUCUGCACUGCAGUUGAAACUGGCCUCCUUGAGUGCGUAAGAGGCAGGCGGAAUUCGUCGUGUAGCGGUGAAAUGCUUAGAUAUGACGAAGAACUCCGAUUGCGAAGGCAGCUGUCCGGGGUGUAACUGACGCUAAUGCUCGAAAGUGCGGGUAUCAAACAGGAUUAGAUACCCUGGUA
rnacentral:rRNA from 1 species